AUCCUGGCUCAGGAUGAACGCUAGCUACAGGCUUAACACAUGCAAGUCGAGGGGAAACGAUAUUGGAAGCUUGCUUCCGAUAGGCGUCGACCGGCGCACGGGUGAGUAACGCGUAUCCAACCUGCCCAUCACUUGGGGAUAACCUUGCGAAAGUAAGACUAAUACCCAAUGAUAUCUCUAGAAGACAUCUGAAAGAGAUUAAAGAUUUAUCGGUGAUGGAUGGGGAUGCGUCUGAUUAGCUUGUUGGCGGGGUAACGGCCCACCAAGGCGACGAUCAGUAGGGGUUCUGAGAGGAAGGUCCCCCACAUUGGAACUGAGACACGGUCCAAACUCCUACGGGAGGCAGCAGUGAGGAAUAUUGGUCAAUGGACGAGAGUCUGAACCAGCCAAGUAGCGUGCAGGAUGACGGCCCUAUGGGUUGUAAACUGCUUUUAUAAGGGAAUAAAGUGGGAGUCGUGACUCUUUUUGCAUGUACCUUAUGAAUAAGGACCGGCUAAUUCCGUG
rnacentral:rRNA from 1 species